GGAAGGAUCAUUAGCAAAUGUUGUAUGUAUGGGUGGGUGGGGGGAGGAGGGAGGAUUGUGUAGUUGUUGUGUCAGUGGGAUUUGUCCCACUGCAUGCAGCCACACCACACUGACACCCACACCCACACCCACACUCACACCCAAACUACACCCACAUUUACCCCGAAAGAUCAGUCGGUCUUUGGGUCACACAUGAACGAAUGAAUGUCUAGUCAUGACAACGACACCAACAUAUUAUGACUUUUAACAAUGGAUCUCUUGGCUCUUGCAACGAUGAAGAACGCAGCGAAAUGCGAAACGUAAUGCGAUUUGCAUGCAUCUGUGAGUCAUCGAGUCUUUGAACGCACAUUGCACCGGCCACUUCCGGGUGGCAGGUAUGCCUGUUUGAGAAUCAUAACACUGCUUGGUUCCGAUAGUGAAUCAGAGAUGGCGAUUCAGCAGGGCUGGUUGCUGAAAUGGAUUAGAUUGGUUGAUUGCUGCCGCGUCGGGUCGCAAUGAGAUGGAGACGAUUAGUCUUGGACCAUUGCUGACUCUGAUGCGGCUGGCAAUCGCGCGGCCAGUCUCAGACCCGGGUCAACGACCACUUACUUAUUUUGGUCUCAAAUCAGGCAAGACUACCCGCUGAACUUAAGCAUAUCAGUAAGCGGAGGAAAAGAAACUAACAAGGAUUCCCCUAGUAACGGCGAGUGAAGCGGGAUGAGCUCAAAUUUAAAAUCCGAGAGGCUUCCUCUCUGAAUUGUAGUUUAAAGAGACGCUUUCUGGCGGGGUUGGACGUACAAGUCUCUUGGAACAGAGCAUCGCAGAGGGUGAGAAUCCCGUCUGGACGUCUGAUGGCCGCGAGGGUGAGGCGUCUUCGAAGAGUCGAGUUGUUUGGGAAUGCAGCUCAAAAUGGGUGGUAAAUUUCAUCUAAGGCUAAAUACUGGCAAGAGACCGAUAGCGAACAAGUACCGUGAGGGAAAGAUGAAAAGCACCUUGAAAAGGGAGUUAAAUAGUGCGUGAAAUUGUUAAAAGGGAAACGAUUGGGGCCAGUAUUGGCGGUGGAGUUGGGUGCAGGGGCGUUGUCCGUGCGUCUGAGCGCAGGGCAUUGUCCGUGCACCGCAUCCAUGGCCAAGUCAGCGCCGGUUUUGGCGCUGCAUUAAGGCCUGGGAAAGGUGACAUUGGUCCUCGGACCAGUGUUUUAUAGACCCGGGCUGGAACAGGCGCGGGGACUGGGGGAUUGCUGCGGGGGCGUGGAGUGCGGGUUUUGGUGGUGCCGGUCUGGACAGCGUGCUGACCAGCCGACAGUGCCGGGCCUCCGUCCGCAGACCCACUGCAGCAGGCUGACGAAAUGGCAUCAAACGACCCGUCUUGAAACACGGACCAAGGAGUCUAACGUAUGUGCGAGUAUUUGAGUGGCAAACUCGAAUGCGGACGAAAGUGACGACGUGGGAGCUCGCGUGUGUGUGUAUGUAGCGUACCACAUCGCAACGGUGCACCACGGGCCAGCCUGGCUGUCUUCAGUCAGGCCAGAGCCGGAGCAUAUCCGCUGGGACCCGAAAGAUGGUGAACUAUGCCUGAAUAGGGUGAAGCCAGAGGAAACUCUGGUGGAAGCUCGUAGCCGUUCUGACGUGCAAAUCGAUGGUCAAAUUUGGGUAUAGGGGCGAAAGACUAUCGAACCAUCUAGUAGCUGGUUCCCUC
rnacentral:misc_RNA from 1 species